UACGGGGGGGGCAAGCGUUGUUCGGAAUUACUGGGCGUAAAGGGCUCGUAGGCGGCCAACUAAGUCAGACGUGAAAUCCCCAGGCUCAACCUGGGAACUGCGUCUGAUACUGGAUGGCUUGAAUUCGGGAGAGGGAUGCAGAAUUCCAGGUGUAGCGGUGAAAUGCGUAGAUAUCCGGAGGAAUACCGGUGGCGAAGGCGGCAUCCUGGACCGACAUUGACGCUGAGGAGCGAAAGCCAGGGGAGCGAACGGG
rnacentral:rRNA from 1 species